rnacentral:rRNA from 1 species
UCGAGAAUCUUCGGCAAUGGGCGCAAGCCUGACCGAGCGACGCCGCGUGCGGGAUGAAGGCCUUCGGGUUGUAAACCGCUGUCGGGAGGGAUGCAGAGCUCCGGAGGAAGCACGGGCUAAGUUCGUGCCAGCAGCCGCGGUAAUACGAACUGUGCGAACGUUAUUCGGAAUCACUGGGCUUAAAGGGUGCGUAGGCGGCGCUCCAAGUCAGGUGUGAAAUCCCCCGGCUCAACCGGGGAACAGCGCUUGAAACUAGAGUGCUCGAGCGAGGCAGGGGUGUGUGGAACUUCCGGUGGAGCGGUGAAAUGUGUAGAGAUCGGAAGGAACGCCGGCGGCGAAAGCGGCACACUGGGUCUUGACUGACGCUGAGGCACGAAAGCCGGGGGAGUGAACGGGAUUAGAUACCCGGGUAGU